rnacentral:lncRNA from 10 species
CUGAAAGAAAAGCAGCAAAGCCCUGGGUAAUCAAGGCCCUAAACGGAAAGUGUCAGGAUCUUGGGCUAUAGUACCCUAUCUGCAAAAUAAAUCUUUUGCAGGAUCGUAUUGUAUAAAAUGGAUGAAAACAGAGCUAUUGGGUUUGAAGCACUCCUGAACCCUCUCAUGGAACCCUAUGUCUUCCUGGAGUCUACAGAGCUAUUGGGUUUGAAGCACUCCUGAACCGUCUAGUAGAACCCUAUGUCUUCCUGGAGUCUACAGAGCUAUUGGGUUUGAAGCACUCCUGAACCGUCUAGUAGAACCCUAUGUCUUCCUGGAGUUUACAGAAAAAGAGACUCAGGGAUUUUCCCAAAGCACACUGCAAGUUAGGGGCAGGAAUGACAGCCCAGACCUUCUGGUUUCCAGUCCAGGGCUCAACUGCCUAAACAGUGGCAUCUCUUCAGGCAGGCCCUGUCAGAGGCAGAUUAGGGGACUUGUCCAAAGUUACUCAACUAUGAAGAGUCAAGAUUCAAAUCCAGAGACAUCUGACUUCAUUUCCCUUCAUUAACAACCAUCUAAGGAAGUUCCUAUUACUUUGGGAACUCCUAGUAGCAGGUGGUUAAAAAAAACUCCUGGACAACAUACUAUGCUAUUUGAAUCAUCCUACUUCUUACGCGUUCCUCCAGGAUGCACUCUUCUCCCAUUCUGAAACUGACAGUUCUCUUUACAAACUGUGUAUGUUUCAUUCCUGGAUUGCAUCUGAGCUGCCGCCAUGGAACGGGCAUUGAGUUUUAGCGUGUGUGAUGUCCCAUGUGUUCAUUUUGUCUCCCCACACUAUAAACUUGAGAGGCAAGGCCAACUCUUUUAUGUCUUCAAAUGCUUUGCUGCCAAACACAGGAUUGGAAAUGGCCAACAAAGACUAAAAUGCUACUUCUCUACCCUUUUCACUAUGCCAUCUACUGGAAAUUUAAGCAAGACUUGCAGAGAUCACUUCAGGUUAUCUGUUCCCCUGCAAGAAACACUUGUGGUUUGGCCUGAAAUAGUUUUCUGCUGAUUCUUUCUCUACAGCCCUGAACCCUAAAAACAAAUGAAAUGCAUCAACACAAUACUAAAUGCCUACAUAUUAUUACUAUUAUGUCUUUAAAAAAAGAGUGAAAGCUUUUUCAUGUUUGCUUUAAAUCAACCAUGUAGAAACUGGAGGGACCAGUGAAGAGGAAUAGAGGGAAUGAACUCAAAUGCUCUAACUUGCAAUAGGACAGUUGGGUUCUUACUUUGACUCACCUGACCUUUACAACCAUUAGCCAGCUCACAUGAUGCCCAAACAAGUUGCUGAGCCUCCUGCCCAUCCUCUGUAUAUAUCCCUGGUUUCCUGUCUCAAGCUUUAGGCUAAUCUCCAUCAACACUGACCUCACAUGAAUACUAAAUGCAGAUGUCUGACCUCAUAUUUCUCUGCCAGUCAGAUCCCUGGCCUCUUUACUACAGACCUUAAGGACCAGUUCUCAAACUCAUCUCAUUGGCAUCUUUUCACAUCACGAAAUCUAUCUGGUCAGGAUUUGAAUAAAACUGUAUUUUUACUUUAAUACAAAAGAGUCAACAUGGGCAGUGACUAAAUAAAGGGGGUGGGGACAGAGUUAACACGAGCCACCUAUGCUGUUACAUAUAUAUAUAUCCCGAUUAAUUUCAGUUGGUGAAGAGGAAGACCCUCGGGCACAGAUUUCAACACUGUGCUGGACUCAGACCCAAAAUCCUUUGACUUAUUUUUAUUUUUUGGGAUGAGGUCUCGCUAUGUUGCCCAGGCUGGAGUACAGUGGCUAUUCAUAGGCACUAUCAUAGUGCAGGGUAGCCUUGAACUCCUGGCCUCAUGAUCCUCCCACCUCAGCCUCCCUAGUGGCUGGUAGCUGGGACUACAGACACAACCAGCCCUCUGACUUAUUUUUACUACUCUGCUGUGAAACUCACCCGAUCUUUACUUUGGCCUUCAUUAUUGAGGCUUCCUUAAAGCAGUGGUUCUCAAAGUACCAGGUCCUGAUCAGCAGCAUCAGCAUCAAUUUGUUAAAAAUACAAAUGCUCUAUGGGGCCCUACCUCAGACUUACUGAAUCAAAACUCCUUAGUCAAGACUUAACUGCUGGUAAGUGACUGAGUUUUUGGUCAAAGGCAUUUCCUUUUAGCACUUGUUCUCUGGGUCCUGAUUUUUCUUUACUUAUUUCAACAGAAUGACCUUUCCCAUUGUAUUCCAUCAGAGAGUGCUAAUUAGAAGCAAAACCACAGCUUAAUUGUCUUUUUUUUUUUUUAACUUCGCAUUCCCAAGUUACACCGUCAUUUUCUUUUUGUGACUAUGCCCUUGAAAAUCUAGGGCAAUAGGUCUGCUCAGUGUUGUUGAUUUUCUUAUCCACAAGACUGGUUUCACUUUAUUAGAACUUUCUAGUUCCAAAAUUAGGCUAUCCUGCUAACUUCCUUCCCACUUGAGUGUUCCACUACAUACAUUCCACAGCCCUUUACACUUGGAAAUACUUUCACACAUUGGCUUGCAGGCUAGAUAGAUUGUCCACCUUUUAUCUGUAAAAGGUAAAACAGAAACUCAGUGAGAUUAAAGCCAUAGCUAUAAAGUAGUGAAGUUUAAAGUUCUGGUACCUACUUCAGUCCCUGACUCAUAACAAGCGCUCAAUAUAUUUAACAAGUAUGUGAAUGACCAUGGAAGCCAGAUCUUUGACUUCUAGGCUGGUUUUCUUUCUCUUUUUUUUUUGAGAUGGAGUCUCGCUCUGUUACCCAGGCUGGAGUGCAGUGGCACGAUCUCGGCUCACUGCAACCUCCGCCUCCCAGGUUCAGGCAAUUCUCCUGCCUCAGCCUCCCAAGCAGCUGGGAUUACAGGUGCACGCCACCAUGCCCAGCUAACUUUUGUAUUUCUAGUAGAAACGGGGUUUCACCAUGUUGGCCAGGCUGGUCUCGAAAUCCUGACCUCAAGUGAUCCGCCUGCCUUGGCCUCCCAAAGUGCUGGGAUUACAGGCAUGAGCCACUGCACCCAGUUUCUGGCUGGUCCUUUCUAUCUCUAGAUCACACAAUCUCUCAUGUUACAUAGUUGUGGGAAUAGACAAGUCUAGCUCCAAAAAGCGUUAAUAAUCUUGUCCCAUUUAUUUUCCUAG